CCUCUGCGUGCGAGACUGAGAGCCGGUAGGGAGGCGGGGAACUGAAACCUGGAUUUGGCAGGAGGGCAGCGGACACCCCGGAAUUACAUCCCAAUGGGGUUCCUGCGGGAAGACCUGGAUUCCUAACCUGAGACGUAUCUGUUUUCUCACUUCUUACUACUUUGAUUCCCACCUUCAAUUAGAAGUGAGUCACCUUGUUUUCUGCAUAACCCUUAUUUUUGGCAUUGCAUUUGUGGACAUCUCCUGUGAAUUAUGCCUAAAGUUGUGUCCCGGUCAGUUGUCUGCUCCUACACCCGAGACCGGGAGGAAUAUGAGGACGGCGAGAAGCCCCUCCACAUCUACUACUGUUUGUGUGGCCAGAUGGUUCUGGUGCUUGACUGUCAGUUGGAGAAAUUGCCCAUGAGGCCCCGGGAUCAGUCCCGGGUGAUUGAUGCUGCCAAACACGCCCACAAGUUUUGUAACACAGAAGACCAGGAGACUAUGUAUCUUCGCAGGCCUGAAGGCAUUGAACGACAGUACAGAAAGAAGUGUGCAAAGUGCGGACUGCCACUCUUCUACCAGUCCCAGCCAAAGAAUGCUCCUGUGACCUUUAUUGUGGAUGGAGCAGUAGUCAAGUUUGGCCAGGGCUUUGGGAAAAUGAAUAUAUAUACUCAGAAGCGAGAACCUCCUAAGAAGGUGAUGAUGACCAAACGGACUAAAGACAUGGGCAAGUUCAGCUCUGUCACUGUGUCUACUAUUGAUGAAGAGGAAGAGGAGAUUGAGGCCAGGGAGAUUGCUGACUCAUAUGCACAGAAUGCCAAAGUGAUUGAAAAACAGCUGGAGCGCAGAGGCAUGAGCAAAAGGCGGCUGCAAGAGCUGGCGGAACUAGAAGCCAACAAAGCCAAAAUGAAGGGGACUUUGAUUGAUAACCAGUUCAAAUGAUUAGGACUUUUCUCUGAACCCAGACUAAAGGCAAGCAUUUAGACCAGGAGGCGAAAGAACUUUUUCUUGACUGCAUGGACUGGUUCCUACCUUUAUGCCCCAGCAAAAAGCCUUCUGUUGCUCCCUACAUUCAGUGAGGUCUUUGAGUCCAUCUGACCUACUUUCUAGAAAUGAAUUUUAAAAAUACAUGGAUCUUCUGUACUAUUUUUUUGUCCAUUUGAUGUCAACUUCUUUAGUUGUAUAGAAACUCCAUGAGUAGACUAGUGCUUGAGUGUCUUUAGUUUCUAAAGUAGCUGUUCUUUAAUAAAAUAUUUAAAGAUUUUUUGGGGGGGAGGAUGAGUCAUAUUAGUUUUUUUCUGUUCAUUUUUCCUAUCCAUCUUUAUUCCAGGCUAUAUUCAUAUUAUUUUUUUUUCUGAAGAAUUAUCAUUCUUCUUUAAAUAAAGUUUUUAUUCACCUCUGAAUAAUGAACAUUACAACUUUAGGGAAUUGUGGGACCAUUUUUUAAAAUAUGAGUAUUAUGCCAACUUAAAAGAAAAUCAGUGCCAGAAUAUCAGGGGAAAUGAUCAAUUUUCUGUCCUCAUCCUCUUGGACCAACCAUUAACAUUUGACCCACUUAACCACUUGCUUCUUGAAAUAGUUUUUCAGUUGGCUUCUAAAAUAGUGCAUGCUCUGCGUUUUCCUUCUUCCUUCUUCUUCUGUAGUAGCCACUCCUCAAGUUUGUUGGUUUUUGUGUGUUGGUUCCCAGCUCCUCCUCCACUCUCCAGCCUAAAUGGAAAAGUAACUCAGGCUUCGAUCUUCUAGCCAGAUUCCCCACCUUGUCCAGUUUCACCUUUUAAAAUACCAUGUCUAGCUUGAAGAUUCCUAAAUUUGUAUUUCUAGCCAUCUCUCUUGAACUCGAAUCCCAUAUAUCAGACUGCCUACUGGUUAUCUCUAGUUGUCCAUCAUAGGCAUCUCAAAGAUAAAAUGUCCUAUAGAAUUCUUGAUUCUUGCCCCUUUAGCUUCUCCUUAACUUUUCUCCUUCUCAAGUUGACACUUUUUAAAAAAUUUAUUGGGAUGACAUCGAUUUCAAGUGUAAAGUUCUAUGAUACAUGAUCUGUAUAUUGCAUUGUGUGUCCACCACCCCAAGUCAAAUCAUAAUCCAACACUAUAUAUUUGGCCCCUUUGCUCUAUAAUAUCUGCCUACCCCCUUUCCUCUGGUAACCAUCAUACCAUUGUCUAUGAGUUUCAGUUUUAUAUCCCAC